rnacentral:rRNA from 1 species
CACGUAGGGGGCGAGCGUUGUCCGGAUUUAUUGGGCGUAAAGAGCUCGUAGGCGGCUCAGUAAGUCAGGUGUGAAAACUCCAGGCUCAACCUGGAGACGCCACCUGAUACUGCUGUGGCUAGAGUCCGGUAGGGGAGCAUGGAAUUCCUGGUGUAGCGGUGAAAUGCGUAGAUAUCUGGAGGAACACCGGUGGCGAAGGCGGCAUCCUGGACCAACACUGACACUGAUGAGCGAAAGCCAGGGGAGCAAACGGG